rnacentral:rRNA from 1 species
UACAGAGGCCUCGAGCGUUUAGGCGGAAUCACUGGGCUUAAAGCGUGUGUAGGCGGACUUCUAAGUACCUUGUGAAAUCCCACGGCUCACCCGUGGAACUGCUCGGUAUACUGGUCGUCUUGAGCCUUCUAGGGGCGAGUGGAACAAAUGGUGGAGCGGUGAAAUGCGUAGAUAUCAUUUGGAACGCCAAUGGUGAAAACAACUCGCUGGGGGAAGUGCUGACGCUGAGACACGGAAAGCCAGGGGAGCGAACGGG